UACGUAGGUGGCGAGCGUUAUCCGGAAUGAUUGGGCGUAAAGGGUGCGUAGGCGGUCAGGUAAGUUAGAGGUGAAAGCUCGAUGCUCAACAUCGAAACUGCCUCUGAUACUGUCUGACUAGAGUGUAGUUGCGGAAGGCGGAAUGUGUGGUGUAGCGGUGAAAUGCUUAGAUAUCACACAGAACACCGAUUGCGAAGGCAGCUUUCCAAGCUAUUACUGACGCUGAGGCACGAAAGCGUGGGGAGCGAACAGG
rnacentral:rRNA from 1 species